rnacentral:rRNA from 1 species
AACGAACGCUGGCGGCAGGCCUAACACAUGCAAGUCGAACGGACGUGGCAAUACGUUAGUGGCUCACGGGAGAGUAACGCGUGGGAACCUACCUUUUGGUUCGGGAUAACAUCGGGAAACUGGUGCUAAUACCGGAUAAGCCCUUCGGGGGAAAGAUUUAUUGCCGAAAGAUGGGCCCGCGUUGGAUUAGCUAGUUGGUGAGGUAAUGGCUCACCAAGGCAACGAUCCAUAGCUGGUCUGAGAGGAUGAUCAGCCUCACUGGGACUGAGACACGGCCCAGACUCCUACGGGAGGCAGCAGUGGGGAAUAUUGGACAAUGGGGGAAACCCUGAUCCAGCCAUGCCGCGUGAAUGAUGAAGGCCUUCGGGUUGUAAAGUUCUUUUGGUGGGGGCGAUGAUGACGGUACCCACAGAAUAAGCUCCGGCUAACUUCGUGCCAGCCGCCGCCGUAA